CUCAAAUUUAUUUAUUUAUUUAUUUAUUUAGCUUUGCCAACUAGGACAGGGUCACCACAACAGCAUAUGCCAAUUACUGUGGGCCCUUUUUUACCUAACCCACCCUGUCAACUUUCCCUGUGGGAGGAAACCGGAGUACCCGGGGAAAACCCACGGCUUUCGGCAGAGCGUUGACUUUUACUCUUUUCACAUGGGGACUGGGUUCGAGUCGCACUGAGAAGGUACUUAGUGAGACUCGAACCUGCAGCCCCAGAGGUGAAAGGCAAGUGCGCUAACCACUUGGCCACCGAAGC